GGCAGUCGCAAUGAUUUGUAUGAUAGCUGCUAGCCCAAGAGAGAGUUCCAGAAGAGGGCUACCUGACAGGUGCUGUGGCAUUUAGAAGAGGAAUGGAGCCACUGUCAACGCACAGCUUGCAGGUGAGCAGGAGAGUCAGUCUAAGAAGGAAAUGUGAUGAUGGAAACAGAGGUUGGAAGAUGGAAGGGGACCCAGAGUCAAGGAAUGCAGGUAGAAAAGAAAAGCCUGGAUUCUCCCCUAAAGCCUCCAGAUGGAACACAGCCUUGCCUCCACCUUGAUUUCAGGACUUCUUACCCCAAGAAUCAAGAUGUCAGUACCGUGGAAUGACAUGACCAACAAUAAUAUGUUGCAACUCUGAGAUACAGCUAGAAAUUCUC
rnacentral:lncRNA from 1 species